rnacentral:rRNA from 1 species
AAAAACAUGGCUCUUUGAUUACAUAAAUAUAAGGAGUCGGGCCUGCCCAGUGAAUAAUUUUUAACGGCCGCGGUACUCUGACCGUGCAAAGGUAGCAUAAUCAUUUGCCUUAUAAUUGAAGGCUAGUAUGAAUGGUUUGACGAGAGCAACACUGUCUCCUUUUUAAUUUCAAGAAUUUAACUUUUAGGUGAAGAGGCCUAAAUUUUAUUGAAGGACAAGAAGACCCUGUCGAGCUUAAAAGAUAUUGUAGGGGCUUGUAUAUGUCUAAAUAAACUUUCUACCAAGCUUUUUAGUUGGGGCGACUAAGGAACAAAAAAAGCUUCUUUCUAAAAACAGACAGCCAUGUUUAGAUCCAAUAAAUUUGAUCAAAGAAAUUAGUUACCGCAGGGAUAACAGCAUAAUCUCUCUUGAGAGGCCUAAUCGAAAGAGGGGGUUGUGACCUCGAUGUUGGACUAGAAUAUCCUAAAGAUGCAGAAGUCUUAAGGGUCG